rnacentral:rRNA from 1 species
AUGCCUGGCUCUUUGUUUCUCAUUUUUCCGUUUUGUAUAUAUGCUUCCUCUACGCUCACUCUUGUAACUCCGGCGACAGAACAUCCAUCAGCAUGUUGCUCUUGUAUUGUUCAUGCUGGGAGGUGGUCAACUGAUUCGGCCAGAUAUUGGAAACUGGUUCUUGCAUGUUUUUUUAAUUUCUGCAAUUCUUCUGGACAGAUAUUUGAAAGUAUGUGUGUGGAUUUUCAAGACAUGGUGCAGGCUUUGCAUCAUUCCAAGCAUAAGGCAAGAUACACUUGGUUCAAUCUGCAGGCAGUGAGGUCAGCAAAUCAUUAG